rnacentral:rRNA from 1 species
GACGAACGCUGGCGGCGUGCUUAACACAUGCAAGUCGAACGGGCCCGCCCCUGUUUUUGGGGGUGGGUUGAGUGGCGAACGGGUGAGUAUCACGUGAGUAACCUGCCCCCUGCUCCUGGAUAACUGCUUGAAAGGGCGGCUAAUACGGGGUGUGCCGGCUGGUCCGCAUGGGCCUGGUCGGGAUAGUUUCAUCUUCGGGUGUUUCGGUGGGGGAUGGGCUCGCGGCCUAUCAGCUUGUUGGUGGGGUGAUGGCCCACCAAGGCGGUGACGGGUAGCCGGCCUGAGAGGGUGGGCGGCCACACUGGGACUGAGACACGGCCCAGACUCCUGCGGGAGGCAGCAGUGGGGGGUAUUGCACAAUGGGCGGAAGCCUGAGGCAGCGACGGCGCGUGAGGGAUGGAGGCCGUCGGGUUGUGAACCUCUUUCUCCGGUGGUGAAGGCCCUGUCCGUUGCGGCGGGGUUGACGGUAGCCGGGGAUGAAGCGCCGGCUAACUACGUG